GUUAUAGGGUCAAGCGAAUAAGUGCAUCUGGUGGAUGCCUUGGCGAUGAUAGGCGAAGAAGGACGUGUAAGCCUGCGAAAAGCUUCGGGGAGCUGGCAAUUGAGCUUUGAUCCGGAGAUGUCCGAAUGGGGAAACCCACCCUUAGGGGUAUCCCAGACUGAAUACAUAGGUCUGAGGAAGCGAACUCAGCGAACUGAAACAUCUAAGUAGCUGAAGGAAAAGAAAUCAACCGAGAUUCCGUAAGUAGUGGCGAGCGAACGCGGAGUAGCCUGUACGUGAUAGUCAAACUCUUAGUAGAACGGAAUGGAAAGUCCGGCCAUAGUGGGUGAUAGCCCCGUAUGCGAAAAGAGCUUGGUGGUACUAAGCGUACGACAAGUAGGGCGGGACACGAGAAAUCCUGUCUGAAUAUGGGGGGACCAUCCUCCAAGGCUAAAUACUCAUCAUCGACCGAUAGUGAACCAGUACCGUGAGGGAAAGGCGAAAAGAACCGCGGGAGCGGAGUGAAAUAGAACCUGAAACCGGAUGCAUACAAACAGUGGGAGCCUCUUCGUGGGGUGACUGCGUACCUUUUGUAUAAUGGGUCAGCGACUUACAUUCAGUAGCGAGCUUAACCGAGUAGGGGAGGCGUAGCGAAAGCGAGUCCGAAUAGGGCGUUCAGUUGCUGGGUGUAGACCCGAAACCAAGUGAUCUAUCCAUGGCCAGGUUGAAGGUGCGGUAACACGCACUGGAGGACCGAACCCACUAGUGUUGCAAAACUAGGGGAUGAGCUGUGGAUAGGGGUGAAAGGCUAAACAAACUUGGAAAUAGCUGGUUCUCCUCGAAAACUAUUUAGGUAGUGCCUCAUGUAUCACUGACGGGGGUAAAGCACUGUUAUGGCUAGGGGGUCAUCGCGACUUACCAAACCAUGGCAAACUCUGAAUACCGUCAAGUGCGAGCAUGGGAGACAGACAUCGGGUGCUAACGUCCGGUGUCGAAAGGGAAACAACCCAGACCCUCAGCUAAGGUCCCAAAUGCAUAGUUAAGUGGAAAACGAAGUGGGAAGGCACAGACAGCCAGGAUGUUGGCUUAGAAGCAGCCAUCAUUUAAAGAAAGCGUAAUAGCUCACUGGUCGAGUCGUCCUGCGCGGAAGAUGUAACGGGGCUCAAACUAUGAACCGAAGCUAGGGAUAUGUGCGUAAGCACAUAUGGUAGAGGAGCGUUCCGUAGGUCUGUGAAGGUGUCUUGUGAAGGAUGCUGGAGAUAUCGGAAGUGCGAAUGCUGACAUGAGUAGCGAUAAACAGGGUGAAAUUCCCUGUCACCGAAAACCCAAGGUUUCCUGCGCAACGUUCAUCGGCGCAGGGUGAGUCGGCCCCUAAGGCGAGGCUGAAAAGCGUAGUCGAUGGGAAACAGGUUAAUAUUCCUGUACCGAUCUGUAAUGCGAUGUGGGGACGGAGAAAGCUAGGCCAUCCGGGUGUUGGAAGUCCCGGUUUAAGCGUGUAGACGUGUUUCGUAGGCAAAUCCGCGAGACUAAGUUGAGGCGUGAUGACGAGUCCUUUUAGGACGAAGUGGUUGAUGCUCUGCUUCCAGGAAAAGCCGCUAAGCUUCAGUUACAGAUUGACCGUACCGCAAACCGACACAGGUGGGUAGGAUGAGAAUUCUAAGGUGCUUGAGAGAACUCGGGUGAAGGAACUCGGCAAAUUGACACCGUAACUUCGGGAGAAGGUGUGCCCCGGUAGGUUGUAGGAGAACAUCCGAAGGCCGAUGGGGUUGCAGUGAAAAGGUGGCUGCGACUGUUUAUUAAAAACACAGCACUCUGCUAACACGAAAGUGGACGUAUAGGGUGUGACGCCUGCCCGGUGCCGGAAGGUUAAUUGAUGGGGUGCAAGCUCUUGAUCGAAGCCCCGGUAAACGGCGGCCGUAACUAUAACGGUCCUAAGGUAGCGAAAUUCCUUGUCGGGUAAGUUCCGACCCGCACGAAUGGCGUAACGAUGGCCACACUGUCUCCACCCGAGACUCAGCGAAGUUGAAAUGUUUGUGAAGAUGCAAUCUCCCCGCUGCUAGACGGAAAGACCCCGUGCACCUUUACUGUAGCUUUACAUUGGACUUUGAACAGACUUGUGUAGGAUAGCUGGGAGGCUUUGAAGUGAGGACGCUAGUUCGCAUGGAGCCGACGUUGAAAUACCAGCCUGGUGUGUUUGAGGUUCUAACCUAGGUCCAUGAUCUGGAUCGGGGACCGUGUAUGGUAGGCAGUUUGACUGGGGCGGUCUCCUCCCAAAGUGUAACGGAGGAGCUCGAAGGUAUCCUAGGUACGGUCGGAAAUCGUACUGAUAGUGCAAUGGCAUAAGGAUGCUUAACUGCGAGACUGACAAGUCGAGCAGGUGCGAAAGCAGGACAUAGUGAUCCGGUGGUUCUGAAUGGAAGGGCCAUCGCUCAACGGAUAAAAGGUACGCCGGGGAUAACAGGCUGAUUCCUCCCAAGAGUUCACAUCGACGGGGGAGUUUGGCACCUCGAUGUCGGCUCAUCACAUCCUGGGGCUGUAGCCGGUCCCAAGGGUAUGGCUGUUCGCCAUUUAAAGUGGUACGUGAGCUGGGUUUAAAACGUCGUGAGACAGUUUGGUCCCUAUCUGCAGUGGGCGUUGGAAGUUUGAAGGGGGCUGCUCCUAGUACGAGAGGACCGGAGUGGACGAACCUCUGGUGUACCGGUUAUGACGCCAGUCGUAUCGCCGGGUAGCUAAGUUCGGAAGAGAUAACCGCUGAAAGCAUCUAAGCGGGAAACUUGCCUUAAGAUGAGACUUCCCUGGGACUUCGAGUCCCCUGAAGGGUCGUUCAAGACCAGGACGUUGAUAGGUCAGGUGUGGAAGCGCAGUAAUGCGUUAAGCUAACUGAUACUAAUUGCCCGUGAGGCUUGAUCCUAUAACCCAAGA
rnacentral:rRNA from 1 species